rnacentral:misc_RNA from 1 species
GAAAUGCGAUAAGUAAUGUGAAUUGCAGAAUUCAGUGAAUCAUCGAAUCUUUGAACGCACAUUGCGCCCGCCAGUACUCUGGCGGGCAUGCCUGUUCGAGCGUCAUUUCAACCAUCAAGCCCCCGGCUUGUGUUGGGGACCUGCGGCUGCCCGCAGGCCCUGAAAAACAGUGGCGGGCUCGCUGUCACACCGAGCGUAGUAGCAUACAUUCUCGCUCAGGGCGUGCUGCGGGUUCCGGCCGUUAAACGACCUUCAUAACCCAAGGUUGACCUCGGAUCAGGUAGGAAGACCCGCUGAACUUAAGC